GAGUUUGAUCCUGGCUCAGAUUGAACGCUGGCGGCAGGCCUAACACAUGCAAGUCGAACGGUAACAGGAAGAAGCUUGCUUCUUUGCUGACGAGUGGCGGACGGGUGAGUAAUGUCUGGGAAACUGCCUGAUGGAGGGGGAUAACUACUGGAAACGGUAGCUAAUACCGCAUAACGUCGCAAGACCAAAGAGGGGGACCUUCGGGCCUCUUGCCAUCGGAUGUGCCCAGAUGGGAUUAGCUAGUAGGUGGGGUAACGGCUCACCUAGGCGACGAUCCCUAGCUGGUCUGAGAGGAUGACCAGCCACACUGGAACUGAGACACGGUCCAGACUCCUACGGGAGGCAGCAGUGGGGAAUAUUGCACAAUGGGCGCAAGCCUGAUGCAGCCAUGCCGCGUGUAUGAAGAAGGCCUUCGGGUUGUAAAGUACUUUCAGCGGGGAGGAAGGGAGUAAAGUUAAUACCUUUGCUCAUUGACGUUACCCGCAG
rnacentral:rRNA from 1 species